GGGCUGACGUGCUGCUGGACUCCUGCAGCCUCCGCCAUGAGAGCCCAGAGCUUUCUUGCUCUUGCCACCAGAGCUUGCCCCUGCUGGUGGGGCACCCAGGCCAAAGGUUUGGGGUGCUCCACGCUGUGCUUCUGCUCCUGAGUUCUUCUGCCCACUCUCCUCUGACCUUCCCAUCAUGCCCUUUCCUCCUCUAUGUCUUCCUGGAAGAGAGAGUGUCUACUCAUCCACUCCCUUCAAUCUGAGCUUUGAUUGUACUAUGGACCAAUCAAAUGGGGUAGAAAUGAUGCCGUGGAUUGAUUGGCAGUUCUGCUUCCUUCCUGUUGGAGCUCAAGUUACCAUACUCUGAGGAAGCUCAAGCAGCCUCAUGGAGGUCCAUGUGGAGAUGGCAUAUCUCCUCAUUCUGCAUGGAUUUUGUCCACCUAACUCUCAGAGGGAAGUCUUCCAGCUUAACGGUCACUCCCACAUAUGGCUGACAGGGUCCCCAAGACUUGGUCCACAAUUGCAGUCAGUUCAUCCCAAAGCUCCUGGGUCCUUUGAGUCAUGUGCAUGCUUGGCCAGAGCUGGACCACCGCUCUCAGAGCCAGGACAACUAUGGUGGCCAUCGUGGGAACUGGGUAGUGCUGCUGAAUGUGGUUGGGGGUCAUCAGAAGCCAUCUGGAUACUCCCAUUGACCCAGGAGUGGGUGGCGAUCCAGCCCAGAAGUCAUCUAGGUGGAAUGUGGACAGAAGGACAAGAGCUCUGCAGACCCCUCCGGUGCCCCCAGGUUUCUGGAAAGCCCUCUAGGCAGCCAGCACAAGGUCAAAUACUUCUGCACAGAGAAUCCCUGCAGGGGGAUUUGUUCCGGGAAGGGAAUUACAUUUCAAUUUGAUUUAAUUCAAUGAGAAUGACACCAAAUUGAUCAGCUGGUAAAAUGCCAUUUGAUGGGCAGAUCUGCUCUUUCCAAGUCAAUAGGAACCUCCAGAAAAAUCAGUCUUGCUUUUUCAGACAGAACUGAAAGUUUUACCCAUUUCCUUUGCCUUUUAAAAAGGGCUCAAAUUCCUUGAAGGUGGAGGGCCUUUUCCUCAUAGAUUUAGGGACCUGAGCAAAGUAAUUAACCAACAGGCACCCAGGGGACACACUGUGCAACUUCUGUAUCAGGUUGUGUGUGUGUGUGUGUGUAUGUGUGUCACAUUAGUCAUCUUGUACCAGACUUUCCUGUGAUCUUGACAGAUUUCUCAGUUUCUCUGGGUCUCAGUUCUACCAUCUAUAAGAUGAGCAUUUAGCCUCCCUUGGUCCUGCACUGGGCCACGUCCUUUGGAGCAAUGGCACGAACAAUAACCACAGUCCCCAACAACCACUGUCACGGUCCCAACAAAUAGUCACUAGCAUUAUAUUUUUGCUUUUUUUUUUUUUUGGUGCUGGCAAGUGUCAGGCAAGUACUCUGUCUCUGAGCCACAACCCCAACUAGUGUCAUUCUUGAGCAGUUACUCUGUGCUGGGCACGAUUGAAAACUUCAUAUGUUUUUAUGGUUUGAGUAUGAGGUGUCACCAAAAUGUCCUACAUCCUGCGUUAAUGCAGGGAUAUUCAGAGUGAAAUGGUUAGGCAAUGAGAGUUGUAACCCAAUCAGCCCUUUCUAAUUCGAUAUAGACUGACUGGGUGGUAACUGCAGGUAGGUGGGGCUUGGCUGCUGGAGGCGGGUCACUGGGAUCACACCGGGAAGGGUUCAUCUUCCCUUCACCUUCCCCCUCCUUUCUUCCUGGCCACCAUGAGCUGAGCAGUGGUCCUCCAUGGUGCCCUCCUACCACGAUGCUCUACUUCACCUCAGGCCCACAGCCAUGGAGUCAGCCGGCCAGGAACUGAACCUGUGAAACCAUGAGUUGACAUAAACUCUCCCUCCUCUAAAUUAUUCUUGUCAGGUAUUUUGGUCAUACGGAUGCAAAGCUGACUAACACGUACGCAUUAUAUCACCUGGUAUUUGUAAUCAUUCCAUCAGGUAGAGACAGUCAGUUCUGCUGUUGCACUUAUUUUGAAAAUGUGCAUUUGUUUCGUCAUGAUCCAUGUAUUAGGGAAUCAUCGGAGCAUCAUGUUAAUUUUGCAAUUGCUUCCGCCUGGUAUCCUGGGCGAGGAACGCUAGACGGGCAUAGGAAACUGUACCCAGUUAAACCGGGCUGAGUGGAAAUACCCAGAAAGCACAGGUGCACACCCCUCAGAAUCUACGGGCUUCCUUCCUUCAUCCUGUGUUUUAGGAGACGCUGACCUGGUGCCCUGACUUUCCUUCUGAUUUCAGAUCCUCCUCCUCCCCUCUCUUGACAGGGACUCACAAGCUGCAGUCCUUUGAUGCUCAUUUCUGCAAGCAAACAAAAGGUCUUUGGCACGGUAACCCAUCGUGCUUGUUGUACAUGUAUAUGUAAUUUUCACAUCUUAAUCAUUUAGUGUGUGUAAAACCAUGCUGCCAUUUUUUUUUUAAAACCAGGUUCCUCUUUAAAGAAAUGUUCCCCAAGAGAUUUUUGAGUGGUUCCCAAUCCACUGUUUCCAGAAGCCCUGUGGUUUUUGUACAGCAUGGUGAUUUAUUUUAUCUUAUUUUAAAAUUUCCCCCAAUUUUGAUAAAAUAUGCAGAACCUAAAAUGGACCAUUUUAACCAUUUUUAAGAAGACGGCUUAGUGGAACUAAGUCCAUUCACAGUGUUGUACCACUGACCUCGCUGUCCAUCUGCAGAGUUCUCUUCGUCUUUCUGGACCGAGUACCCUUUAAACGGCAGCUCUCAUUUCCUCUCCCCAUUGCUCCUGGCAACCUCCAUUCAACUUUCCGUCUCUCCGUGUUUGGUUCUGCUGUGCACCUCACGUCCUCAAGUUUUAUCCACAUUGCCGCGGGUGUCAGAAUGUCCUUUUUUUUUUAAACGCUGAAUAAUAUUUGAUUGUCGGUAGAGAACCCAAAUUUUGCUUCUCCCUAUCCUGAUGAAUUUGGGGACUGCCUAAGUGGAGUGACAGCGGAACUGUACUUUUUCGAUUUUGCACACAAGGAAGCUAAGGUGCCGAGUGGUUAGGUGACUCCCUCAACUGCCAGCUAAUAAGUGGGACACUCAGGAUUUGAACCCAGGUCUCGCUGAUUCUGCAACUUGUGCUUCAAAUGCUGUGCAACUCUGCUUUCUUCUUUUCAUGUUAUUGUCACCAAUCCAAAUGAUGUUGACUGGGAGUCGGUUUGGUUAUUAAUUUCCUGUUGUUAACAGAAGCUAUAGUGUCUGAAAUCUCUGCUGCACCAUCUGGAAUUUUUAAUAAAAACUUGAGGAAUUUCCAGGG